UCCGGUUUGACACCGGCAGUCUCGUUAGAGUCCUCGCCAUGACGCGUUAGCAACUAACGACAGGGGUUGCGCUCGUUAAGGGACUUAACCCGACACUUCACAGCACGAGCUGACGACAGCCAUGCAGCACCUGUGCUUGUUGUACUCUUGCGAGCCUCAUUGAUGUUUCCACCAACUAAUCCAAGCAUGUCAAACCCAGGUAAGGUUCUUCGCGUUGCUUCGAAUUAAGCAACAUGCUCCACCGCUUGUGUGAGCUCCCGUCAAUUUCUUUGAGUUUUAGCCUUGCGACCGUACUCCCCAGGCGGCACACUUAUCAAUUUCUCUGCGACCAAUACGGGGUCAAACCCGCACCGAUCUAGUGUGCAUCGUUUAGGGCGUGGACUAC
rnacentral:misc_RNA from 1 species